AUAAUUUUUAUGCACCAUAUGAUUGUCUCACAUUGCUGCAAACUUCAAAAGUAAUGUUUAUGUAAUGAUGAUCAUUUGCAAGAAAAGAGAAUGCUAAAAGUUUUGUGUUGAAAGAAACUGAUUAGAAAAGUAUUUGCAAAACCAUAACCAUCUUACUUGAUAAUUAUAUUGUUGAUAAGAUUAACAUAGAUUUGUGGUACUACAUACAACACCAAUAAAAAUAUAUAAAAAAAGCUUAAGUGGUUGAUUAAAAUUCAAUUCUUAACCCACCUAAGCGGCAUGAUUUCUCUAUUGAAGUUGUCAUUUAUGAUCCUCAAGACAAACAUCGCUUUAUCAUGGAGGCUCUGAAAUACAAUCUGAAUUUUGCCAUAAAUAAUCACUUACGUUUAGCUGAUGUCAUCUGUGGGAUUGGAAACAUACUCACGGCUGUUUGUUUAACUGAUAUCAAAAACAAAGUGAUUUGAAUGGUAUGUGUUCCUAUUUAAAAUCUAAGAAUAAGCCUCACAUGAAUGAGCUAUUGAUCACAAGAAUGAGGCAAUGUAUCGAAUAGGUAUACACAUAGCUAAAAAAAAAUUAUUGCAACUAGAGCAGACAAGAAUCAGAAUAUAGUUCUUAUCAAUAAAUUGGAAUAGCAUUAACUGCUUACUGAAUACAUCAAUACUACUGAGUGUACAAUGUCCAAUAUAGACCUCAGAGAUAGGCUUAGAAGAAAGCUAAUAAAAUAUUUAAUCACCUGGAAUUUCCAACCUUCAUUUAUCAUUGUGGGCAAAUUUAUAUUGUUGCUUCAAGGCUGCUGUUGGCUUUAUUAAAUGCCAUAAGCCUUCUUUGAAAAUUAGCCCAUUUAUCAAGAAGUACACAGCCUCAACUUUUAAGUUGGAGAGAGCAUUAGCUCAAUUUAUCAAAGCCAGGAAUGUUAUAUAGCCAUACACUCUCAACAGUUUACUUGAGUUCAAGUAUAAACUUAAUAAAUUUAAAGUAUAACUAGGAUAUUAUUUGGACUACAUCCAAAUAUUUUCCUAGUUAUGUUGAACUUCAAAUCCAUCUAUUCUAGCCUACUGUUAGAUCUUCAGUAGUGUAACUCCAAAAUUUACUCUUCCAUCGAUCCAUCACACCAAUGGAAUUCAAAAUCUUUUGUGACUUUGCCACCUGAUUUGCAAAAAUGCCUGUUAUGAGUUAUGAAUAUCUCAUUUAAUGGAUGUGAUAUCAGAAGAUAAUUCAUACAAAAUAAAGGCAUCUCUGUGAGUUCUAUUACCAGUGAGCUAGCCAUAAUCUUGAUUAGAAAUUGUGAAGAAGCAGCUCUCCUUUGGUCAAGGUUCCAUUAUGUUCCAUACUCACUACAUCAAUGACAUUUUUGUGAUUAUCAAAAAUAAGCAAGUAGUCAAUGACUUUGCAUACAGCAUCAAUAGCAACUUAUAUUAAGUUAAUCAUAUAGUUCAAGCAGUCAGAUAAAAAAUGGGUUUAUUUUUUGGAAAUGUGCAUCACAAAAAAGUCAAACCUAUUUUCCAUUUCUGUAUUCAAGAAACCCAGAAGCUCACUUUAAUUUAUGAACAUUCCAACACUAUGGCAAAGUAAAAGAACCUAGCAUCUCUGCACUUAUUUGGUAAAUCUAUAAACUUUUUUUGGAGGAGGUGAAUGGGGUAAGAGAAUUUAAGAGUUUUCAAGGAAGCUUUCUUGAUUGACAGAUACUAUGGUAAUAAAUUAGAUAAGCUAGCCUGUAAGAUCCAUACCAAGCAUUUUAAAAAGUGCAAGAUGAUCUGUGCUUUGAUAGAAGUUAUUGCACCAAGUAGAAAUACUUGCAAGGCAAUUCCUGUCCAUUCCAAGGCACUCUGUGUCACAAGAUUAUUAAUGAAGUCAUCAAGAAUUAUGCUUAUCAUGGUCCUAAAAAAAAACUACAGUUUUCUAACAGAUCUGCAAUGAUAGGGAUUCUGGUCUAAUGCAGAGAAGUGUGGAGUACAGAAAACUAUGCUAUUCAGUUUGCAUUUGGUUCAGUAAGCCACUACAUAGGAAUAACCAAAAGAAUCUUAUAGAAGAUAUACAACAGCACCAAUACAAUAUAAAAAAAAAUAACAAAGAAAAUAUGGCUUUCACACAAGAGCCUACUCAAAAUACUUGAAAUGUGAUGAUAAAAUCAAAGAAUUAAAUGAAAUGAUAAAAUGAGAUGAGAUGAUAAAAUCAAAGAAUUGCUGUGUUAUAACAAGUGAUGAUCCAAUUUUUGCAAGGUCUCUAACAUUUACCUUAUAGGCUAGAUGAAAGUCUGAUUAAUUCUAGGGAUAAGGAUUCUGUACCCAUUGCCUGGGAGUUCUUAAUUAAUCAGCACACUGAUGGUAUUUAAGUGCUGCAAACAUAAGUAACAUUUAUAAUUAUCAUUUUAUUUCUGUUUCUUUUUGUACAACAUUUUAUCAUCAUAUGUAUACAACCUGUUUGUCUGUUCUUACUGUUACCUCAACACUUGAGACUGACAUUGCAUUGACAUUUGUGUUUACACAGGUGUUCUACUCCCAUUUCUAUUUAUGUUCACUUUCUCUGUGCAGUUGGAGAGGGGCAGUCCAGGUCCAAAAGUGUUCCUGCAUCUAUAAUUCUCUCUUAAGAUCGGAUAAACUAAUUGAGACUUCAUUAUUUUAGUUUAGGAUAUAGUUUUCAAUUUAGUUUAUCCUAAUUGUAUGUAG
rnacentral:lncRNA from 1 species